AUUGAACGCUGGCGGCAGGCCUAACACAUGCAAGUCGAGCGGAUGAAGGGAGCUUGCUCCUGGAUUCAGCGGCGGACGGGUGAGUAAUGCCUAGGAAUCUGCCUGGUAGUUGGGGAUAACGUCCGGAAACGGGCGCUAAUACCGCAUACGUCCUGAGGGAGAAAGUGGGGGAUCUUCGGACCUCACGCUAUCAGAUGAGCCUAGGUCGGAUUAGCUAGUUGGUGGGGUAAAGGCCUACCAAGGCGACGAUCCGUAGCUGGUCUGAGAGGAUGAUCAGUCACACUGGAACUGAGACACGGUCCAGACUCCUACGGGAGGCAGCAGUGGGGAAUAUUGGACAAUGGGCGAAAGCCUGAUCCAGCCAUGCCGCGUGUGUGAAGAAGGUCUUCGGAUUGUAAAGCACUUUAAGUUGGGAGGAAGGGCAGUAAGUUAAUACAUUGCUGUUUUGACGUUACCAACAGAAUAAGCACCGGCUAACUUCGUG
rnacentral:rRNA from 1 species